rnacentral:rRNA from 1 species
CAGUAGCCACGGUAAUACGUAGGGUGCAAGCGUUAAUCGGAAUUACUGGGCGUAAAGCGUGCGCAGGCGGUUAUAUAAGACAGAUGUGAAAUCCCCGGGCUCAACCUGGGAACUGCAUUUGUGACUGUAUAGCUAGAGUACGGCAGAGGGGGAUGGAAUUCCGCGUGUAGCAGUGAAAUGCGUAGAUAUGCGGAGGAACACCGAUGGCGAAGGCAAUCCCCUGGGCCUGUACUGACGCUCAUGCACGAAAGCGUGGGGAGCAAACAGGACUAGAUACCCCAGUAGUCCCUGUCUCUUAUAC